rnacentral:rRNA from 1 species
GACGAACGCUGGCGGCGUGCCUAAUACAUGCAAGUAGAACGCACAGUUUAUACCGUAGCUUGCUACACCAUAGACUGUGAGUUGCGAACGGGUGAGUAACGCGUAGGUAACCUGCCUGGUAGCGGGGGAUAACUAUUGGAAACGAUAGCUAAUACCGCAUAAUAUUGAUUAUUGCAUGAUAAUUGAUUGAAAGAUGCUAUUGCAUCACUACCAGAUGGACCUGCGUUGUAUUAGCUAGUAGGUGAGGUAACGGCUCACCUAGGCGACGAUACAUAGCCGACCUGAGAGGGUGAUCGGCCACACUGGGACUGAGACACGGCCCAGACUCCUACGGGAGACAGCAGUAGGGAAUCUUCGGCAAUAGACGAAAGUCUGACCGAGCAACGCCGCGUGAGUGAAGAAGGUUUUCGGAUCGUAAAGCUCUGUUGUAAGAGAAGAACGGGUGUGAGAGUGGAAAGUUCACACUGUGACGGUAUCUUACCAGAAAGGGACGGCUAACUACGUG